GAGUCAGCUCGGAAAAGUUGUCCAAUUACUUCAGUGGUCCCAAUAUUACACCACCAAAACGAAUGAAAAAAGGGGGCACAAAAGUGAAGGAUCGGGGGAGAAGAGAGAUCUGAGAUACCCAAGCACAGAAUGAUAGCAAAGGAUUGCAGAAACACCAAAGUGCUUCACUAAAAAAGAUGAUGGGAACAAAGAAACCGUCAGAUUAAGCGGAAAAUAGCUAAAAUGAUUGUGAUUCUAAGUACAGAAGGUACUUCUGCAUGCUCAUUUCCUUGAGUAGAAAAUAGCCCAAUUUUCAUAAUGAAAUUUGGAACAGGGGUAAGAUAUCUACCCAUGGUAU
rnacentral:lncRNA from 1 species